rnacentral:rRNA from 1 species
GAUGAACGCUGGCGGCGUGCUUAACACAUGCAAGUCGAACGAAGCACCUUGAUUUGCUUCUUCGGAUGAAGAUCUUGGUGACUGAGUGGCGGACGGGUGAGUAACGCGUGGGUAACCUGCCUCAUACAGGGGGAUAACAGUUAGAAAUGACUGCUAAUACCGCAUAAGACCACAGCACCGCAUGGUGCAGGGGUAAAAACUCCGGUGGUAUGAGAUGGACCCGCGUCUGAUUAGGUAGUUGGUGGGGUAACGGCCUACCAAGCCGACGAUCAGUAGCCGACCUGAGAGGGUGACCGGCCACAUUGGGACUGAGACACGGCCCAAACUCCUACGGGAGGCAGCAGUGGGGAAUAUUGCACAAUGGGGGAAACCCUGAUGCAGCGACGCCGCGUGAGCGAUGAAGUAUUUCGGUAUGUAAAGCUCUAUCAGCAGGGAAGAAAAUGACGGUACCUGACUAAGAAGCACCGGCUAAAUACGU